GUUAGGGUUAGGAGUAGGGUUAGGGUUAGAGUUGGGUUAGGGGUAAAGGUACCCCUUCCCUAACUCUACCCCUAACCCUACUCCUAACCCUAAC